AUCACCUUACCCCUCCUUUCACUGCCUGGCAACAAGCAUGCCGCAUUCCUAGAUUUUCUAGGUUGAAUAGAACCCUGAGGUCUUUGAAAAAUUCUAAUGGUCUGUUUGGGGACCUCUGGUACCCCAAGAGAGACAGUUUAAGGACCGUUCUCUGCCUCUCAGCUUCAGCAAGAGGGAUUCCACCAGGAUUUUCUGGGAGAACUCAACUGUCAAGGUCAACAAUUUGCAAACUUUACUGGGUUACAUGACAAAUUCCUCUCUUGAUCCUCAGCAAGAGAACUUGAAAUAAGAGUUGCAAGUCUAAUAGUAAUUUGGUUACCCAUUAUACCAAGUACCAUACAGUGUUGGACUCAACCCAGAUUGCAUCUACACAUCCAUGGAAUAAUGAACUAGGAGUGAAGUGCUGCCCAUACAGCUGCUGGCGCGUUGGAUGUUUUCAAUUUGCUGUUCAGAAUAUAGAAGCUCUUUCAGAAUACAGAAGAUAGCAAGGAAAAACCCAUGCUUCCAGCUAGCCGAAAAUGUAGAAUAUGGGUAGUCUGUUCAGCACUGUCCAUACCACAGAACGGAAACAGGAAUGAGGAAGUCUCUUUGUGCAUUUUAUUUUAUUUCUGUCCUGUUCUUUUGUUUCUAUAUACCAUGGAAGAUAUGAAAGUGUGACCCAGAAUAUGGCUCUUGCAUGCCCCCUCCUUUAAUCUGAGCCUGAGUUAUGAUAUUGCAACAGCAUGUGUAUGUCUUGCUUGGAAAAUGUUUAAAAUGUAAAUUCAGCUCUUUGUGAUGCAUAUUGAAUAUAGCAGGCAUUGUGUACA